CUUUCAGUCUAAGUCUGCCUCUGACUGAGUGGAACUUCACAGAGAUGGAGUCCGACCUCAAACCAUACAUGUUCCAGAACCAGGAAGUUGAGGCUUUUCCAGCCGCUGGCUGUGAAGAACAAUGAAUUUGUGCCGUGAAUGGUCCUUUCUGAGGCGAAAGGUCACAGACGCUGCUGUUACACUUUGUACUCCACUGUGCACCAGUUUGAUCCCCAGGCCCUGCCAGGCUAUUUCCUACACGUGACUUUGAUUUUAUUCUUUCUACAUCCACAUGCCUACAACAGAAAAAGCUCUGCAGUCUUUUUGAUCAAAGCUUUUACUUCCUGGUUAUUUGACUUCAUCGGAUCUAUCAGCUGUCUGCUCUGUGGGCCUGAACGAUACCUACAUGGGAAAUAUGAUGUCAGUGACUAUGAUUUUCACAGUUAACCAAUCACAGCAUUACAUUUAGACUCUGAUAUUAAGCCGGAUGGAUGCAGACGGUGCAUUCUUGGCUCCUGCACUUUAGUCUUUGUGUGAGAGGGAGUUCCUGCUUGGAGAGGUGACUUUUUCUUCCUAUAAAGAUUUCACAACAGAUGAAUAUUUUUUAUUAGUUUAUCCUUAUUAAGAAUAUAAUUUAUUUGUAUCAAAGAACAAACUUUGGCAGAUUUUAUGUGAUUUUCUCAGUCUGUGUAGGAGUGUAGAAGUUGAGGUAUACUUUAGGCAUUUGAAAAUCACUAUCAUUCAGAGAGAUAAGCGUGUUAGCGUUUCUAUCAGGCUGUAUUAAAAUCCAUAAGGAAGGCUCUCUGAAAUCUAUGGCAGUAGAAGGUAACACCCAUCUUUGCACAGUCCUGAUAUGUAGCCGGGGAUUAGCUUAUUUCUCUUCUGUCUGAUUUAAGUGUUAAGUUUUAAUAGACAGAUUCUCAUUUGACAAAAUCUACACUGGACACUACUGCAUAUUUGCACAAUCGGUAUAUCUAGUUAUUUAUCUCUAGUUACAACAGUGGGUCAUUGAUUUCCUGUUUGUAGAUGGCCAGCACUGGGUUGCUCAGUAAAUGCAGUGAAUGACAGCAUUUUUAAACCGUAAUCUUUCAUCUUGGAGACGAGUGGUCACACAGUGUUGCUGCACUUGUAUCUGUGCUCAGUGCUACACAGUAAGUUCAGACUUUCAUGCAUAAAAACCAAAGUCAGGACAAGGGGCUACGCCAAAACCACAGAGAGAAGAAGAAUUUGUCAGCUGUCCAGGAGCCGGUGUUUACUUUGACUUUGUUUCACUGAAUGUACGGUGGGGUGAUUACUUGAUAAUUGAGUCUUUUAUAGAAUACCUGCUUGAAGGAAUUAUUUACUCUGGAUAACUACAAUUUAUUAAUGAUUAUGCCAUUGGACAUCAAAUAUUAGUCCUCACCACUGUUUGGAGGCAGUAGAUGAACAUGAAUUGUGCAAUACUGUACAGAACUGUGAGAAACUGCAAUGACCAUAGGAAUGUAGGGAGCAGCAGCUGUAAGUGGUGGACUGGAAAGCACCAUAGAAAGAUGCACUGCAGAAGGAUAAUGUUAGCUUGUGAGCCUAAAAGCCCCGCUAUUCAUACCGAGUCUUACAAAAGCUUCAAAUUUUAGUAGCAUUAGUGAGGUCAGCUGCAGCGCUGCCUGCAGCAAGGCCACGACCCACAUCGUGCUGCAUCGUGGAGCCGCGCCUCAGUACCUCAGUGCUCAACCAAAACCACGACUUGUGCAGAAAACCUGCAGCUUUUGCUCACGAUGUGAAACUGACCAUCAUGGUUUUCCCCCAUACUUAUAUACAUAUAUUUAUACUUGCAGGCUAACAUUUGAUUAUUUCAUUCUCCGUGCAGCUUUUGGAAAAGGGAGGGAAAGCAAGUUGUGGUAUAAACAAAUGAAAUUGCACUAAAAAUGACAGUUGUAUGAUAUUUGAGAGUACACAGUACAUUUUAGACAUAGCAUUUAUUUGUGUUCCUCAUAAUAAAUAUGAGUGUAAUUACUUUUUUUCCAAGGAGUGAUGAAUACAUACAUUCUGCUGCUGUUGUGUUCUUAAUUUAUUCCGUUUUCCACUUUUAAUCAUUUGCACUGGAAAUGAACAAACUGUGUGUUCAGAUGACAUUUAUGCCUGUCGGGAUUGCAGACAGAUAAAGAAGUAUUGAUGUUCAACGAGUGAAAAGAUCUCUGCUGUAACAAAGCCUGGCAUCCAAAAGCACCUCUGCACGCUAAAUGGACUCGAAGAAAUGUGCACAGAAACACGCAUCACGUAUAUUAAAGCAGAAAAUCCUGUCGACAGUGAAGACAACGAGAUGAUCUCAGUGCUUAGAUGCUUUUGAAAGUGGGCCGCUGAAAAUGUGAAUCGUUUUAAAUGGAUUUUUAUUUUUAAAGAAUAAAGUGUAUCGUUACAG
rnacentral:lncRNA from 1 species